rnacentral:rRNA from 1 species
UUAAGCGACUAAGCGUACACGGUGGAUGCCCUGGCAGUCAGAGGCGAUGAAGGACGUGCUAAUCUGCGAAAAGCGUCGGUAAGGUGAUAUGAACCGUUAUAACCGGCGAUGUCCGAAUGGGGAAACCCAGUGCAAUUCGUUGCACUAUCGUUAACUGAAUACAUAGGUUAACGAGGCGAACCGGGGGAACUGAAACAUCUAAGUACCCCGAGGAAAAGAAAUCAACCGAGAUUCCCCCAGUAGCGGCGAGCGAACGGGGAGCAGCCCAGAGUCUGAAUCAGCUUGUGUGUUAGUGGAACGGUCUGGAAAGUCCGACGGUACAGGGUGAUAGUCCCGUACACCAAAAUGCACAGGCUGUGAACUCGAAGAGUAGGGCGGGACACGUGGUAUCCUGUCUGAAUAUGGGGGGACCAUCCUCCAAGGCUAAAUACUCCUGACUGACCGAUAGUGAACCAGUACCGUGAGGGAAAGGCGAAAAGAACCCCGGCGAGGGGAGUGAAAAAGAACCUGAAACCGUGUACGUACAAGCAGUGGGAGCACCUUCGGGUGUGACUGCGUACCUUUUGUAUAAUGGGUCAGCGACUUAUAUUCUGUAGCAAGGUUAACCGUAUAGGGGAGCCGCAGGGAAACCGAGUCUUAACUGGGCGUUAAGUUGCAGGGUAUAGACCCGAAACCCGGUGAUCUAGCCAUGGGCAGGUUGAAGGUUGGGUAACACUAACUGGAGGACCGAACCGACUAAUGUUGAAAAAUUAGCGGAUGACUUGUGGCUGGGGGUGAAAGGCCAAUCAAACCGGGAGAUAGCUGGUUCUCCCCGAAAGCUAUUUAGGUAGCGCCUCGUGAACUCAUCUUCGGGGGUAGAGCACUGUUUCGGCUAGGGGGUCAUCCCGACUUACCAACCCGAUGCAAACUACGAAUACCGAAGAAUGUUAUCACGGGAGACACACGGCGGGUGCUAACGUCCGUCGUGAAGAGGGAAACAACCCAGACCGCCAGCUAAGGUCCCAAAGUCAUGGUUAAGUGGGAAACGAUGUGGGAAGGCACAGACAGCCAGGAUGUUGGCUUAGAAGCAGCCAUCAUUUAAAGAAAGCGUAAUAGCUCACUGGUCGAGUCGGCCUGCGCGGAAGAUGUAACGGGGCUAAACCAUGCACCGAAGCUGCGGCAGCGACACUAUGUGUUGUUGGGUAGGGGAGCGUUCUGUAAGCCUGCGAAGGUGUGCUGUGAGGCAUGCUGGAGGUAUCAGAAGUGCGAAUGCUGACAUAAGUAACGAUAAAGCGGGUGAAAAGCCCGCUCGCCGGAAGACCAAGGGUUCCUGUCCAACGUUAAUCGGGGCAGGGUGAGUCGACCCCUAAGGCGAGGCCGAAAGGCGUAGUCGAUGGGAAACAGGUUAAUAUUCCUGUACUUGGUGUUACUGCGAAGGGGGGACGGAGAAGGCUAUGUUAGCCGGGCGACGGUUGUCCCGGUUUAAGCAUGUAGGCUGAUUGUCCAGGCAAAUCCGGAUAAUCAAGGCUGAGGUGUGAUGACGAGGCACUACGGUGCUGAAGUAACAAAUGCCCUGCUUCCAGGAAAAGCCUCUAAGCAUCAGGUAACAUUAAAUCGUACCCCAAACCGACACAGGUGGUCAGGUAGAGAAUACCAAGGCGCUUGAGAGAACUCGGGUGAAGGAACUAGGCAAAAUGGUGCCGUAACUUCGGGAGAAGGCACGCUGGUGUGUAGGUGAAGUCCCUGCGGAUGGAGCUGAGACCAGUCGAAGAUACCAGCUGGCUGCAACUGUUUAUUAAAAACACAGCACUGUGCAAACACGAAAGUGGACGUAUACGGUGUGACGCCUGCCCGGUGCCGGAAGGUUAAUUGAUGGGGUUAUCCGUAAGGAGAAGCUCUUGAUCGAAGCCCCGGUAAACGGCGGCCGUAACUAUAACGGUCCUAAGGUAGCGAAAUUCCUUGUCGGGUAAGUUCCGACCUGCACGAAUGGCGUAAUGAUGGCCAGGCUGUCUCCACCCGAGACUCAGUGAAAUUGAACUCGCUGUGAAGAUGCAGUGUACCCGCGGCAAGACGGAAAGACCCCGUGAACCUUUACUAUAGCUUGACACUGAACAUUGAGCCUUGAUGUGUAGGAUAGGUGGGAGGCUUUGAAGCGUGGACGCCAGUCUGCGUGGAGCCAACCUUGAAAUACCACCCUUUAAUGUUUGAUGUUCUAACGUUGGCCCCUGACCGGGGUUGCGGACAGUGUCUGGUGGGUAGUUUGACUGGGGCGGUCUCCUCCCAAAGCGUAACGGAGGAGCACGAAGGUUAGCUAAUCCUGGUCGGACAUCAGGAGGUUAGUGCAAUGGCAUAAGCUAGCUUGACUGCGAGCGUGACGGCGCGAGCAGGUGCGAAAGCAGGUCAUAGUGAUCCGGUGGUUCUGAAUGGAAGGGCCAUCGCUAAACGGAUAAAAGGUACUCCGGGGAUAACAGGCUGAUACCGCCCAAGAGUUCAUAUCGACGGCGGUGUUUGGCACCUCGAUGUCGGCUCAUCACAUCCUGGGGCUGAAGUAGGUCCCAAGGGUAUGGCUGUUCGCCAUUUAAAGUGGUACGCGAGCUGGGUUUAGAACGUCGUGAGACAGUUCGGUCCCUAUCUGCCGUGGGCGCUGGAGAAUUGAGGGGGGCUGCUCCUAGUACGAGAGGACCGGAGUGGACGCAUCACUGGUGUUCGGGUUGUCAUGCCAAUGGCACUGCCCGGUAGCUAAAUGCGGAAGAGAUAAGUGCUGAAAGCAUCUAAGCACGAAACUUGCCCCGAGAUGAGUUCUCCCUGAGACUUUAAGUCUCCUGAAGGAACGUUAAAGACGAUGACGUUGAUAGGCCGGGUGUGUAAGCGCAGCGAUGCGUUGAGCUAACCGGUACUAAUGAACCGUGAGGCUUAACCUU